rnacentral:rRNA from 1 species
UGGGGAAUAUUGCACAAUGGGGGAAACCCUGAUGCAGCGACGCCGCGUGAGCGAAGAAGGUUUUCGAAUCGUAAAGCUCUGUCCUAUGGGAAGAUAAUGACGGUACCAUAGGAGGAAGCCCCGGCUAACUACGUGCCAGCAGCCGCGGUAAUACGUAGGGGGCAAGCGUUGUCCGGAAUCACUGGGCGUAAAGGGUUCGCAGGCGGAAAUGCAAGUCAGUUGUGAAAGGCAGAGGCUCAACCUCUGUAAGCAAUUGAAACUGUAUUUCUUGAGAUGUGGAGAGGCAAGUGGAAUUCCUAGUGUAGCGGUGAAAUGCUUAGAUAUUAGGAAGAAUACCGGUGGCGAAGGCGACUUGCUGGACACAAACUGACGCUGAGGAACGAAAGCGUGGGUAGCAAACAGG